GAUGAAGAACGCAGCGAACGUGCGAAACGUAAUGUGAAUUGCAGAAUUCAGUGAAUCAUCGAAUCUUUGAACGCAUCUUGCGCUCCUUGGUAUUCCGAGGAGCAUGCCUGUUUGAGUGUCGUGAAUACUCUCAACUUCAACCCUUUUUUCGGAAAGGGAGGAAGGUUGGACUUGGGUGUUUGUUGAAGUGCGAGCUUCGACUCAUCCUAAAUGCAUUAGCGAUCUGCCUCGAUCACACACAAUGUGAUAAUUAAAACUAAAGCAUUGUUUAAUGAUCAAGUCGAGACUGCUACUAACUGUCGCAAGACAAUAACGUGCAUACAUUUGUGCAUGUCAUUUGACCUCAAAUCAGGUAGGACUACCCGCUGAACUUAAGCAUAUCAAUAAGCGGAGGA
rnacentral:misc_RNA from 1 species